UUGUUUUUUUAGCAUAAUAGUUUAAUACACAUUCAAAUAUUAUUGGGCAGCAUGAGGAAAUUUCGCUGCUAAACAAUGCCAAUGGUAUAAGCUUCUGAAACAACAAAAAAUCGAUAAAUGACCGUAAAGAAGUGCCUGUUGCAAAAAGUUGACCCCAUACUCCCUUAGUAUCCGACUAUCCGUCAAAAAGAGUGUAUAAAAUGCGUAUGUUGUGACAUAUAAGAUAUUAUUUUUUUUUAUACGUGAAAUAAAUAUGCAAAUCGAGGUUGGGAGGAGAUCUGUGAUCUUGUGCCUGAGUUCUUCUUCAUAUGAAAGUGUUUAAAGAAGUUGCAUGAAUUCAUUCCAAAGUUCGUUAAAACUUGAAAUUCAUCUAGUUUAUAUGAUGACAUUUGCGUUACUAUUGUUCCCAGUAAACUGCGAAACGACCGUUUUUUAGGCGGUUUGUCAGUGACAGUUUUGUCAAUUACGAAGGACAUAUUUGUGUACCUCGUGAUCACAAUUCGUUGCAAGCGGCGUGUGAAAAACUGCAAGCCCCCCCCCCCCCUAGUGUCCGCCACUGAUUAGCCGACAGCAAAUUCAGCUUUGACAGUAAAUUCAAGUUUGUGGUUAACGUUUGCAGUAUAAAUUUUACACAUGGAUCCUGAUACAUUUUAUUUCUAUUUUUAUAAUAUGAAUUUUAAUACACAUGCUCUUGAAAAAAAUUCUGCAUAUUUUUACAGGGCCCACCCUUUAUUAAUGAUUGCAAUUAACUUUCAAUGACCCACCCCUUGCUCAAAAAUAGUGACCCACCAGGC